UACAGAGGUCUCAAGCGUUGUUCGGAUUCAUUGGGCGUAAAGGGUGCGUAGGCGGCGCGGUAAGUCGGGUGUGAAAUCUCGGGGCUUAACUCCGAAACUGCAUUCGAUACUGCCGUGCUUGAGGACUGGAGAGGAGACUGGAAUUUACGGUGUAGCGGUGAAAUGCGUAGAUAUCGAGAGGAACACCUGAGGCGAAGGCGGGUUGCUAGGCUGACACUGACGCUGAGUGCGCGAAAGCUAGGGUAGCAAACGGG
rnacentral:rRNA from 1 species